rnacentral:rRNA from 1 species
GACGAACGCUGGCGGCGUGCUUAACACAUGCAAGUCGAACGGAAAGGCCCUGCUUUUGUGGGGUGCUCGAGUGGCGAACGGGUGAGUAACACGUGAGUAACCUGCCCUUGACUUUGGGAUAACUUCAGGAAACUGGGGCUAAUACCGGAUAGGAGCUCCUGCUGCAUGGUGGGGGUUGGAAAGUUUCGGCGGUUGGGGAUGGACUCGCGGCUUAUCAGCUUGUUGGUGGGGUAGUGGCUUACCAAGGCUUUGACGGGUAGCCGGCCUGAGAGGGUGACCGGCCACAUUGGGACUGAGAUACGGCACAGACUCCUACGGGAGGCAGCAGUGGGGAAUAGUGCACAAUGGGAGGAAGCCUGAUGCAGCAACGCCGCGUGCGGGAUGACGGCCUUCGGGUUGUAAACCGCUUUCGCCUGUGACGAAGCGUGAGUGACGGUAAUGGGUAAAGAAGCACCGGCUAACUACGUG